rnacentral:lncRNA from 1 species
UCUCAGGCACUGAGCAAAGUAGCCAUCCAUUAGCAGCCUCUUGGGAGGCAGGGCUCACAGCAGGGCUGAGUGAAGGUGGUGAGGUUGAGGGUCUCCAGGCCCGGAGUUGGCUGGCAGGAGUUGAGCAGGAAGCAGGUGGGCACGCAGGGCUGAGGAAUGUGGCAGGGUGGGGGACAGUUGUCACAGCAGAUGGGCUCCAGUAACCAAACUGUGUGUGGGCAGGAUUUGUCGGAGGAGCAGAUGG